GGGUAGGUGGUAGAGCGGUCAAAUACAACAGACUGUAAAUCUGUCGCCUUCGGGCUACGGGGGUUCGAAUCCCUCCCUACCCA
rnacentral:tRNA from 1 species